rnacentral:rRNA from 1 species
AUGAACGCUAGCUACAGGCUUAACACAUGCAAGUCGAGGGGCAGCAUGGUCUUAGCUUGCUAAGGCCGAUGGCGACCGGCGCACGGGUGAGUAACACGUAUCCAACCUGCCGUCUACUCUUGGACAGCCUUCUGAAAGGAAUAUUAAUACAAGAUGGCAUCAUGAGUCCGCAUGUUCACAUGAUUAAAGGUAUUCCGGUAGACGAUGGGGAUGCGUUCCAUUAGAUAGUAGGCGGGGUAACGGCCCACCUAGUCUUCGAUGGAUAGGGGUUCUGAGAGGAAGGUCCCCCACAUUGGAACUGAGACACGGUCCAAACUCCUACGGGAGGCAGCAGUGAGGAAUAUUGGUCAAUGGGCGAGAGCCUGAACCAGCCAAGUAGCGUGAAGGAUGACUGCCCUAUGGGUUGUAAACUUCUUUUAUAAAGGAAUAAAGUCGGGUAUGUAUACCCGUUUGCAUGUACUUUAUGAAUAAGGAUCGGCUAACUCCGUGCCAGCAGCCGCGGUAAUACGGAGGAUCCGAGCGUUAUCCGGAUUUAUUGGGUUUAAAGGGAGCGUAGAUGGAUGUUUAAGUCAGUUGUGAAAGUUUGCGGCUCAACCGUAAAAUUGCAGUUGAUACUGGAUAUCUUGAGUGCAGUUGAGGCAGGCGGAAUUCGUGGUGUAGCGGUGAAAUGCUUAGAUAUCACGAAGAACUCCGAUUGCGAAGGCAGCCUGCUAAGCUGCAACUGACAUUGAGGCUCGAAAGUGUGGGUAUCAAACAGGAUUAGAUACCCUGGUAGUCCACACGGUAAACGAUGAAUACUCGCUGUUUGCGAUAUACUGCAAGCGGCCAAGCGAAAGCGUUAAGUAUUCCACCUGGGGAGUACGCCGGCAACGGUGAAACUCAAAGGAAUUGACGGGGGCCCGCACAAGCGGUGGAGCAUGUGGUUUAAUUCGAUGCAACGCGAAGAACCUUACCUGGUCUUGACAUCCACGGAAGUUUUCAGAGAUGAGAAUGUGCCUUCGGGAACCGUGAGACAGGUGCUGCAUGGCUGUCGUCAGCUCGUGUUGUGAAAUGUUGGGUUAAGUCCCGCAACGAGCGCAACCCUUAUUGCCAGUUACUACGUUAAGAGGACUCUGGCGAGACUGCCGUUGACAAAACGGAGGAAGGUGGGGAUGACGUCAAAUCAGCACGGCCCUUACGUCCGGGGCUACACACGUGUUACAAUGGGGGGUACAGAGGGCCGCUACCACGCGAGUGGAUGCCAAUCCCCAAAACCUCUCUCAGUUCGGACUGGAGUCUGCAACCCGACUCCACGAAGCUGGAUUCGCUAGUAAUCGCGCAUCAGCCACGGCGCGGUGAAUACGUUCCCGGGCCUUGUACACACCGCCCGUCAAGCCAUGGGAGCCGGGGGUACCUGAAGUGCGUAACCGCGAGGAGCGCCCUAGGGUAAAACUGGUGACUGGGGCU